UACGGAGGGUGCGAGCGUUGUUCGGAAUCACUGGGCGUAAAGCGCGUGUAGGCGGCCUCUUAAGUCCGAUGUGAAAGCCCGGGGCUCACCCCCGGAAGUGCAUCGAAUACUGGGAGACUCGAGUACCGGAGAGGAAGGUGGAAUUCCUGGUGUAGCGGUGAAAUCCGUAGAUAUCGGGAGGAAUACCAGCGGCGAAGGCGGCCUUCUGGACGGUGACUGACGCUGAGACGCGAAAGCGUGGGGAGCAAACAGG
rnacentral:rRNA from 1 species